AUUAGCCAAUGGGUGGUUAUGUAUCGUUUUGUUUUCGGAUGCCAUGCUGUAUGACAUGACUGUGGACUGGGUUUUGGCGGGAAGUCGGAGGGGAGACGAGGAGGACGGCGGACGUGCGGAGAGGCUCCGGUCGAUCACUCAGGGUGGUCCCGAGCCGUGAGUCGACGGAAUUCGGGUGGUCGUCUGACGUCGAAUUGAGCUCCAACGGUAGCGCGCGAAGAACUUGGACUUUGAUAAGUGGGCCCCCAUGCUACUUUGGGAUGAUACUGAUUCUGGCUCCAAGAGAUGUGGUGUGAGACAGAUGUGGUUCAGGAUGAAGAUAUUAAGCCAUGCUGAGGGGUAACCAUAUGCAGAAGAUCAGAUCUGGAUCAUGGAUGAAGUCCCACAUUUACAAACACCGUGGUAGAAUUCCGAAAAGAUCCUGAUGUUGGCUAGGAAUCAAUCUUGAAUGUUGCUGAUCUGAUGCUAUGAGACUGUGCUGCUGUUGCAAAAAGGAGACAAAGUAAACAGUACAGAUGUGAAUAUUUCCAGCAAUAAGUCCAACGAUGAGUACAAAACAUUAGAGUUCAACCAAGAGUUCUGAAUCACGGUGAAGACAGAUGCUUUAUGCUUGGGGGUAGCCACAUGCAGAAGAUCAAGUCUAGCUCAUGGUUGAAGUCCUACUUUUACAAGCUAUGUCGCCUGUUGGACAGUGUGGUACAAUCCCAAAAGAUCCUGAUGUUGGCCAGGAACCAAAUCUAUCCUGCCUGACCUGAGUCCCCCAGCAUUUUAAGGCAUCAUGGUGGCGUAGCAGUUGGCACGACACUAUUGCAACUCAGGGCAUCAGUGUUUGGAGGGCAAUUCCGGCACUGUCUUCUGGAUCAGUGACAUCCAGGAGUUGAGGCCAGGUCACCAUUCAGUGGGCAUGUAGCAGAAGGCCAUGGAAAUGCCCACCAACUGCUUUUUCACCAUCGUCUUUAAAGGCAGGAACCUGGAUCUGGUGGCCACUGACACCAAGGAGGCCUGGAACUGGAUCUAUGACCUCACCAAACUCAAGAAGAGUGAUUCCAGCAUGAACAAGAGGGAGUGACUGGAUUAGUAUCAUUCACAGUGUGUGUCGGGGGUGCACCAAGGAGAGAGCAUGUCACCGCCCAUUAUGUUCUCUGAUAGCAGCCCCUAAGUCUGCCCCCACCCUGUGUAGAAGGUCAAGGGCAGCAGGCACAUGGGAAUCACCUCCCCCACCUCCCAAGUCACAUUUCCUGACAUAAGACCAUAAGAUAGUGCCUGUCAAUAUUUAUGUACAAUCAACAUUUAUGUUUUAACAGGUUAUAGGUACUAUAGUACAUAUUGGCAUUUUAUAAUAUUGUGUAAAAUGUUCUUCAACUAGCAACAGAAAAACUCUUCAUAUUGUUACAUUGGGUAUUUAGUGAGAUCCUUGUGACGGAGGUGGACUAGUGAGGUUUUGAGUACCUUGUUGCAACUUGGUUAAAAGUAAUUAAAGAUCACCUCUUUUCACAACAUCAGGAUGAUUAUGGGAUUUUGAUUGCAGGUGAAGAGAUUGACUAAAAACCCAUUCAACUAGAUAAGUGGCGGGAAAUCUAAUUAAAAUCAA